UUAUACUUCUUAUUAUUCAUAUAAAAGAAAAGAAGAAGAAAAAAAACAGUUAAGAAGAUUAAGAAAGAAAUUUCAUGUUUAUUUCCCAAUAUCUUCAAUUAUGAUUGAUUUAUAAAGACAAUAAGAAUAAUAAUAACAAUAAUAAUAACAACAAUAAUAUGAAGAAGAAGAAGAAGAACAAAGUAUCUUGGUAUAUUCAAUUUUGCUUUCUUGUUCUUAUGUGGUAUAUGUAGCUAGUACAAUGUAAAUUUUAAUGUGGGAUUUUAUUUAAACGUGUCAUUUAAUGCGUAUUAUGAUUAAUAUGCAUUAUUCAUACACAUAUCAAUGUAUGUGUAUUUAAAUGAAUAUAGAAUUUAUACCUCGUUGACAAAUUAAAUUUACAAUAUUGAAAUAAGGGUGUCACGAUCAGGUACACGCAUCACGUUCGAUCGUCGACGAUCUUUCUAUAUAUAAAAUAUAUCGAUACCAAACGAUAUUACAUUUGUUGAAAGGCAUAUACGUAUUACGUACAGACGCGUACACGUGCAUACAGAAAAAUUAAGAAAAAAAUAGCAAAAUAGAGCGAGGAAGAGAGAGAGAGAGAGAGAGAUGAAAGUUCAUUGUUUACGAGGAAGGACGUCUGUCCUAACAAACGGAGUUUUCGAUGAGGUCUCGUAUUUUUCUAUUCCUGUUGCUUUCUUUUAUUUUUUGAUUUUGAUUAAUUAACUAAUUAAAUUAUAAAAAUUUUAAUAUAUAUAUAUAUAUAUAUAUAUAAUAUUAUUACACUGAAAGAAAAAGAGAAUGUUUAUACCAUUUACUAGCUGACAUAUACAAAGCAAAAAUUAUUACAAUGUUUAUAUGUUUCUAUAUAAGGUGAAAUAUCUAAAUACACCUUAUGUUAUGUACUUUCUGUCGAAUAUCGUAUGAGAUCAGUCUUUCGGCAACCACCAAGGUGGAAUGUUGGAAGAUCCCAUAUAAACAUACGUUUGUAAAUAGAUACAUAUGUACAUAACUAGAUACAUAAUAUACACACCCACGCACACAGACACAAAGUAUAUAGUAGUCUUUCCUUGGGUAUUGCUUGAGGUUUAUUAUAUUGUGUAGACAGUAAUGAGCAACCUUUCUUCUGCAAUGAGCCAAAAUUAAAUAUCUGAUAUUGUUAUUGAUAGAAUUCAUUAUGAACUAAAAAUGUUUAAAUUGAUUAACAAAGAAAUUAAUACUUAAUAGAAAAAGAAAAAAUUACACAUUAUUGAAGGGUAUUUGUUAUUGUCGGCAUCAAUUUACAAUGAAAUGUUUUCUAUAAUUCCAUUGAUUUUUUAUUAGCAAUACUUUUAAUGUGUACGCAUAAAUGUAUGUAUAUACAUUUGUGUAAUGGAACGAAAUCUAUUAGUUGUUUAUUUUUAAUUAGAUAUAUGAUUCUACUUCUCGUUAAUAAACUUUACAUUAUUAUAUUGGAAGAUACAAUGGAAGAUAUCGAAUUAAACUCUAAUACAAUCUUUUAUUCGUUUGUCGUUAACGUUAAGACUUUUGAUAAAAGAUUUCAAUACCUCGGUUAAUAGUUAAAGUGCCUUUCAACUGGCCGUAGAUAACAAAGCUCUUCACAAAUGUAUCAACGUAAGAUGUAAUACCACUGAUUAAGAAAUUCACUAAUUAUAGUCGACUAUUGUCAUUUUUCGAUGCAAGAUGUAAGUCGUAUUUGCAUUGAUACGCAGAUGAAUACGUAUAUGAUAAUGUUUUUUUAUAAACCCUGAGUUUAUUUCUGAUACAGAUUGAGAUAUAUACAGAUAUAUAUAUAUAUAUAUAUAUAUAUAUAUUAUAUGUAUAUAUAUAUACAGAGAGAGAAAGAGAGAGAGAGAGAGAGAGAGAGAAAGAAAGGGUAAACGAAUCGAGAAUUUGAAUAAAACAAAGAACGAUAUCGAGAUUAAAUUGAAAAGAAACUUUGUUAGCUCUUGACAAAAAGGCAUUCGAUAAGGAAGCAUUAGGCGUCCAAAGUACAAUUAUAUCAAAAACCCAUUCAAAUUAAAGAAGAUUACAUAUGUAUCUGAUUAUGAUACCUUAUAUUUCUUAUUAUUCAUAUAAAAGAAAAGAAAAAGAAAAAAAAAACAGAUAAGAAGAAUAAGAAAGAAAUCUCAUCUUUAUUUCCCAAUAUCUUCAAUUAUGAUAGAUUUCUAAAUACAAUAAGGAUAAUAAUAACAAUAAUAACAACAACAAUAAUAUGCAGAAGAAGAAGAAGAAGAAGAAUAAAGUAUCUUGGUAUAUUCAAUUUUGCUUUCUUGUUCUUAUGUAGUAUAUGUAUCUAGUACAAUGUAAAUUUUAAUGUGGGAUUUCAUUUAAACGUGUCAUUUAAUGCGUAUUAUGAUUAAUAUGCAUUAUUCAUACACAUAUCAAGGUAUGUGUAUUUAAAUGAAUAUAGAAUUUAUACCUCGUUGACAAAUUAAAUUUACAAUAUUGAAAUAAGGGUGUCACGAUCAGGUACACGCAUCACGUUCGAUCGUCGACGAUCUUUCUAUAUAUAAAAUAUAUCGAUACCAAACGAUAUUACAUUUGUUAAAAGGCAUAUACGUAUUACGUACAUACGCGUACACGUGUAUACAGAAAAAUUAAGAAAAAAAUAGCAAAACAGAGCGAGGAAGAGAGAGAGAGAGAGAGAGAGAGAGAUGAAAGUACAUUGUUUUCUAACAAACGGAGUUUUCGAUGAGGUCUCGUAUUUUUCUAUUCCUGUUGCUUUCUUUUAUUUUUUGAUUUUGAUUAAUUAACUAAUUAAAUUAUAAAAAUUUUAAUAUAUAUAUAUAUAUAUAUAUAUAUAUAUAUAUAUAUAUAUAAUAUUAUUACACUGAAAGAAAAAGAGAAUGUUUAUACCAUUUACUAGCUGACAUAUACAAAGCAAAAAUUAUUACAAUGUUUAUAUGUUUCUAUAUAAGGUGAAAUAUCUAAAUACACCUUAUGUUAUUUACUUUCUGUCGAAUAUCGUAUGAGAUCAGUCUUUCGGCAACCACCAAGGUGGAAUGUUGGAAGAUCCCAUAUAAACAUACGUUUGUAAAUAGAUACAUAUGUACAUAACUAGAUACAUAAUAUACACACCCACGCACACAUACACAAAGUAUAUAGUAGUCUUUCCUUGGGUAUUGCUUGAGGUUUAUUAUAUUGUGUAGACAGUAAUGAGCAACCUUUCUUCUGCAAUGAGCCAAAAUUAAAUAUCUGAUAUUGUUAUUGAUAGAAUUCAUUAUGAACUAAAAAUGUUUAAAUUGAUUAACAAAGAAAUUAAUACUUGAUAGAAAAAGAAAAAAUUACACAUUAUUGAAGGGUAUUUGUUAUUGUCGGCAUCAAUUUACAAUGAAAUGUUUUCUAUAAUUCCAUUGAUUUUUUAUUAGCAAUACUUUUAAUGUGUACGCAUAAAUGUAUGUAUAUACAUUUGUGUAAUGGAACGAAAUCUAUUAGUUGUUUAUUUUUAAUUAGAUAUAUGAUUCUACUUCUCGUUAAUAAACUUUACAUUAUUAUAUUGGAAGAUACAAUGGAAGAUAUCGAAUUAAACUCUAAUACAAUCUUUUAUUCGUUUGUCGUUAACGUUAAGACUUUUGAUAAAAGAUUUCAAUACCUCGGUUAAUAGUUAAAGUGCCUUUCAACUGGCCGUAGAUAACAAAGCUCUUCACAAAUGUAUCAACGUAAGAUGUAAUACCACUGAUUAAGAAAUUCACUAAUUAUAGUCGACUAUUGUCAUUUUUCGAUGCAAGAUGUAAGUCGUAUUUGCAUUGAUACGCAGAUGAAUACGUAUAUGAUAAUGUUUUUUUAUAAACCCUGAGUUUAUUUCUGAUACA